UGUAAUUAUGCACACUGAAGCGAAUGAACAAGGAGAGACAAAUGCGCCGACCAAGAUUUCUACAUACAACGGAAAGGACAACACUUUCGCCGGCAGCCCCGCUGAUCGACGACCAUUCAAUUCGGCGCGCCGGGGCCCGAGAGGGCGAAGAGGUCGUCGUCGCUGAUGUCGCUGAACUGGCAGCCGUCCACUCCAGGCCACAUAGGGAGGCUGCCGAGGUCGAGCGCAGAGUCGUCGGCGAGGUAGCAGUAGUCGAGCUGCGGCGCGGGCAAGUCGUCGAACGGGACGCCGCCGAGAGGGGCGAAGGAGAACGCAUCGUCGCCGAGCUGAGGCAGGGGCGCGUCGGCG
rnacentral:misc_RNA from 1 species